rnacentral:rRNA from 1 species
AACGAACGCUGGCGGUAGGCUUAACACAUGCAAGUCGAACGGGUGUAGCAAUACAUCAGUGGCAGACGGGUGAGUAACACGUGGGAACCUUCCUAGGGGUACGGAACAACUCAGGGAAACUUGAGCUAAUACCGUAUACGUCUGUGAGGAGAAAGAUUUAUCGCCCUUAGACGGGCCCGCGUCGGAUUAGGUAGUUGGUGGGGUAACGGCCUACCAAGCCUACGAUCCGUAGCUGAUCUGAGAGGAUGAUCAGCCACACUGGGACUGAGACACGGCCCAGACUCUUACGGGAGGCAGCAGUGGGGAAUCUUGGACAAUGGGCGAAAGCCUGAUCCAGCCAUGCCGCGUGAGUGAAGAAGGCCUUAGGGUUGUAAAGCUCUUUUGCCAGGGACGAUAAUGACGGUACCUGGAGAAUAAGCCCCGGCAAACUUCGUGCCAGCCGCCGCAGUAA